UACGUAGGGUGCGAGCGUUAAUCGGAAUUACUGGGCGUAAAGCGUGCGCAGGCGGUUAUUUAAGUCAGGUGUGAAAGCCCUGGGCUUAACCUAGGAAUUGCGCUUGAGGCUGGAUAGCUUGGAGUGCGGCAGAGGGAGGUGGAAUUCCACGUGUAGCAGUGAAAUGCGUAGAGAUGUGGAGGAACACCGAUGGCGAAGGCAGCCUCCUGGGCCAGCACUGACGCUCAUGCACGAAAGCGUGGGGAGCAAACAGG
rnacentral:rRNA from 1 species